rnacentral:rRNA from 1 species
UUAGAAUGUCCAAGCAGUAAGUCUUGUGAAGAGUCAAAUGCUUUUCACUUUAAGGACAAGCUGUGAUGGGGAGCGAAAUUUAGUAGCGAAGCGUCUGAUGUCACACUGCCGAGAAAAGCUUCUAGUGAGUACUUAACUACCCGUACCGCAAACCGACACAGGUAGUCGAGGAGAGAAUCCUAAGGUGAGCGAGUGAACUCUCGUUAAGGAACUCGGCAAAAUGACCCCGUAACUUCGGGAGAAGGGGUGCUGAUCGCAAGAUCAGCCGCAGUGAAUAGGCCCAGGCGACUGUUUAUCAAAAACACAGGUCUCUGCAAAAUCGUAAGAUGACGUAUAGGGGCUGACGCCU